AUCGCUUCUCGGCCUUUUGGCUAAGAUCAAGUGUAGUAACUCUGCACAUUAGGCCCCAAUAGCACAAACCAGGCUGUGUGGCUCCUAGCCCAGGAGCUCCAAUUUCUCUGCCUCCAGUCUCCUUGCUAUCUGCUCACCUGAGGAGAGGUCUUCCAUUUCCACUGCUCCCUCUGGGUAAGCA
rnacentral:snRNA from 1 species